AUUGAACGCUGGCGGCAGGCUUAACACGUGCAAGUCGAGCGGGGUGAUGGUGCUUGCACUAUCACUUAGCGGCGGACGGGUGAGUAAUGCUUAGGAAUCUGCCUAUUAGUGGGGGACAACAUCGCGAAAGGGAUGCUAAUACCGCAUACGUCCUACGGGAGAAAGCAGGGGGUCACUUGUGACCUUGCGCUAAUAGAUGAGCCUAAGUCGGAUUAGCUAGUUGGUGGGGUAAAGGCCUACCAAGGCGACGAUCCAUAGCUGGUCUGAGAGGAUGAUCAGCCCCACUGGGACUGAGACACGGCCCAGGCUUCUACGGGAGGCAGCAGUGGGGAAUAUUGGACAAUGGGGGAAACCCUGAUCCAGCAAUGCCGUGUGUGCGAAGAAGGCCUUCGGGUUGUAAAGCACUUUUAGUGGGAAAGAAAAGCUCAAAGCUAAUAACUUUGAGCCUUGACGUUACCCACAGAAAAAGCACUGGCUAACUCUGUGCCAGCAGCCGCCGUAA
rnacentral:rRNA from 1 species